rnacentral:rRNA from 1 species
ACAAGCGGUGGAUGAUGUGGUUUAAUUCGAUGCAACGCGAAAACCUUACCCACCUUUGACAUGGCAGGAAUCCCGAAGAGAUUUGGGAGUGCUCGAAAGAGAACCUGCACACAGGUGCUGCAUGGCUGUCGUCAGCUCGUGUCGUGAGAUGUUGGGUUAAGUCCCGCAACGAGCGCAACCCUUGUCAUUAGUUGCCAUCACUUGGUUGGGCACUCUAAUGAGACUGCCGGUGGACAAACCGGAGGAAGGUGGGGAUGACGUCAAGUCCUCAUGGCCCUUAUGGGUAGGGCUUCACACGUCAUACAAUGGUCGGUACAGAGGGUUGCCAACCCGCGAGGGGGAGCUAAUCCCACAAAGCCGAUCGUAGUCCGGAUCGCAGUCUGCAACUCGACUGCAUGAAGUCGGAAUCGCUAGUAAUCGCGGAUCAGCAUGUCGCGGUGAAUACGUUCCCGGGCUUU